rnacentral:rRNA from 1 species
UACAGAGGGUGCAAGCGUUAAUCGGAAUUACUGGGCGUAAGGCGUGCGUAGACGGUUAUUUAAGUCAGGUGUGAAAGCCCAGGGCUCAACCUUGGAAUUGCAUUUGAGACUGAAUAGCUAGGGUGCGGAAGAGGGAAGCGGAAUUUCCGGUGUAGCGGUGAAAUGCGUAGAUAUCGGAAGGAACACCAGUGGCGAAGGCGGUUCUCUGGGACGGUACUGACGCUGAGACGCGAAAGCGUGGGGAGCGAACAGG